AAAAAAAAGCCCUAAAAUGGACGAACUCGAUUAAUUCUUCGAUUUCUUCAAAGCUCUGGGCUCUUUUAAUGUUCUCAAUUUACUUCAAAGCCCGUUUCUUAAUUCCCAGGUUUUCAUAAAUAAAAUGGAAUCUACCAUGAAAAUUUCGUCUUCAAUAACGUUUCCUAUAAAUUCAACACCAAAAUUACAUGAAUAUAACAAAGUUUUGUAUUGGUCCGCUGUAUCCAAUGGAAGCUACUCCAUAUCCAAAAUCAGCGACAUUUUCUCAAAUGGCUCUGCUUCUCAUGGGGCUGAGUCAAGGGCACUGGGAGAUGCGUAGGGACGAAGAAGUCGUCUAGAAUCUCUAUUUUGUUAUGAUAAGCCUAUCCCCAAGGAAUGAAUUGAAGAACCAGUUGGGGUAUCUUUGGCUGAAAAAAAUAGUUGGAGAUAAUCCCCGGUGUAGUGCUUGUCAGGCCAAAGGUGUCGUCCUUUGUACCACUUCUGCUGGUUCUGGAUUAUAUGUGGACUCGAUAUUGGAGAGCCAGGGUAUCAUUGUCAAAGUCCGCUGCCUAGUGUUCAGGUUGUGGAGGAACCGGCAAUGUCAUGUGCUCAGAAUGCGGUGGCCGUGGUCAUCGAGGACCCAAGUAACUUGUGGUUGGCAGCCUUCUAUAUGUAGCAUUUACACAUUGUAAUUUCAUUUUGUUUCUAGCUGUGUAAUUCUUUUACAUUAAAUUGAUGUAUUUGACUCCUGCAAUUUCUAAUGGCAUUUGCCUUCAUUUUAAAA